UAGUGUUAUCUCUGAACUCUCCCCCAAACUGUAUCUCCUCCCUUGGAAGAAAUCCCCUCUCCCAAGUCUCGAUCUCAUCCCGAUUCCCCUCUCUGAUCCCUUAGUGCGUAGAUGAGUUCGUGACACACCCUCUCCCCAUCCCCUCACCUUCUCUCCCUAAACUAGGCGGGGCACCAGAACGGGCAGGCCAUGGCGCUUCCAGAUCCGUGGAGGAGCGCCGAGGUCGCGCGCCGCCCGCCGUGCGCUUUUGCUCCACGGCCGGCCGGCCGGCGUCUCCGCCACGGUCGUCCUCUUCCUCCUCUGCACCACCGCGUACAUCGACGGCGCCGCCGUGGGCGACCUCGAGUCUUUUCGCCUUCUCCUCGUCUGACGCGGAGGUGCUCUUACCCGACCUCGCCGCCGGGCCAAGGAAACCCCACCCUGCCGCGAGCUUUUCAUCCCUCAGGUCCUGCAAAAGCGUGCUCAAAGGCAUGCCACCUAGUUGUGGAAGAGCUGGUUAAGGAGUGGGAGCUCCCUUUUGCGGCCCAGCUCACAUCGACACACGCCCCCCUCCCUGCUUCCUCUGCGUCUCCGAUGGCUUCUUCUUCUUCGACUCCGGCAUAGGCAAAUGCAUGGUUACAUAAAGGGCCCUGCUGCUUCCUCCAGGAAUUUGGUCGUCUUGGUCCUUCACGGCAAGUUGGACUUUAUUUAAGCAAGAAUGCUAUCUGGGUACGUUACCAAAGCAGGACUGGAUACCGAGACAUGUACAAGGAGUACCGUGUCGCCACCCCCGUCAAGGGGAUGUACAGAGAUGGCUUCCCGCCACUGUGCCAGAUCCCCCUGCAUCCAGAUCAUCAAGACUGCCACUGUCCACUUCAGCAUCUGCAAGCGUGAUAACACUAAGCAGUUUCACAAGUCAGACAUCACGUUCCGCUGGUCUACCAGAAGGUCAGGCAACCAACCAGGGUCCCAGCAGAGGAGAGCAAGUUCCAUCCAUCCCAAGCCCUGGAGCAGGCGACGUGAACAUUAGAGACGGUUCAACGACGUCCGCAUCUGCAGGCAUGUCGGCCGACAAGAACAUGAACUACGCCGUCCUGACAUCAGCAUCUGCAGUCGUGUGAUGUUUGGCAUCGGCUACAACUCUGACGAUAGAUGCAAACGACGGUGACAAGUUACUACCAAACUUUGGCCCAAGAGUGGCAAGACACCAAGGAGAGAAGUACCACCGAUUGAAAGCAAGAUUUGGAAGCACUAUGUAAAAUGGCAAGACGAGCCUGACAUGCUACUUGUGUGAUCUGUAUGUUGGCCAAGUGCUUGCUACUCCCUCUGAUCCAAAAAAAGUGUCGUGGCUUCAACCAAGAUACUUUUUUUGGAUUGGAGGGGGUAAUUGAUAUGCCUGGUUUGUAACUGGGUUGGCUAUUGAACUAUUGCUGGCGAGUGCUUGUGCUUUGUUUGUUGGUUGCCGAAGUGUUGGAUAUUGAACUAGCUUUGAAAUUGGUCAUGAUUCAUGUAAUUUUCUCCUUGUUUAUCAUCCUUGAUCAUUAUAGAUUUAUAUACUGGGUCGGUGAUGAUUUUUCGUGUA